AUCCAGCUGAAGAGUGUCGAAUAGGACGAAACGUCGCGUCCUGGAU
rfam:Schistosoma mansoni strain Puerto Rico chromosome 6, complete genome